rnacentral:rRNA from 1 species
GACGAACGCUGGCGGCGUGCCUAAUACAUGCAAGUCGAACGAGUGGCGGACGGGUGAGUAAAACGUGGGUAACGUACCGAAAGAGGGGGAUAACACUUGGAAACAGGUGCUAAUACCGCAUACUGAUGUAUGAACCCGCGGUGCAUUAGCUAGUAGGUGGGGUAAAGGCUAACCUAGGCGACGAUCUCUAGCUGGGCUGAGAGGAUGAUCAGCCACACUGGGACUGAGACACGGCCCAGACUCCUACGGGAGGCAGCAGUGGGGAAUAUUGCACAAUGGGCGCAAGCCUGAUGCAGCCAUGCCGCGUGUAUGAAGAAGGCCUUAGGGUUGUAAAGUACUUUCAGCGGGGAGGCGUUACCCGCAGAAGAAGCACCGGCUAACUCCGUGCCAGCAGCCGCGGUAAUAC